UUCUUUUUGACCUGUUUAGAAGAGAUGGAUCUUUAUUGGUUUUUUGAAGGAUUUUUUUUAAGUGUUGCGUGCAUGCUUCCUUUAGAGUUACCCUCUACUAUAUAUAUGUAUAUCUAUUUGUUAUUCAUUUUUUCUUAACAAGGAAGUUAAAUUUGAGAGGCACGUUACCAGGAAGCUAAAUUUGGUAAAGAAAUGACUGAGCAAACUGUGAAGUUAUAAACUUGUAGACUUUGUUUGAUGGGAAAAAGAAGUGUGGCAAAGUAUGACCAAGUGUGAGCAUUGACUUUCCAGCUAAUGUGCUAAUCUUACACUCACAAAUUUUUCAUUGUAAAAAAAUAUGUAUCAAGCAGAUCCUCCCCUAUUUUUAUUGCAAAUGCACUUUUUUAAUCGUGCUACUGUAUAUUUUAAUGGUUUAUAUACCUUAGGUUUUGCAUAGCUUUGCUCGAGUGUAUAAUUCUGUAUAGAUCUUUGAGGGAAAAAAUAUUAAGCAACAAGAGCAGUUACCUACCUGUGGUUUCCCAAUUUGGAGAUGAAGGCAUGAUCAGGUUGAAUUACUCACUGGGGUAGAAAGAAUUAUGGAUAUAUUCAAGACAAUACAUCCAAGAAAUUUGAUAGCUUAUAUGUAAAUAUUGCAGAAUGGUAGCUUAUUAGGUAGGCUUCAAUUGGAAGACGUGCUCAUCUUUGUUAGAAUAUAGAUAAUAAAGGUGACACGUUCUGAUCAAUUAAAAUUUUUUUUGGUAAUUGGUUACUUGCCUAAGUAUAUAAAUACUAUUAGAUUAGAGGUCUUCAAUUCUACCUGUUAGAACUUCACACUUUCUUGUUCACUGGUCUCUUCCACAAUGUUUCUUAGAUGAGUCUCUUACCAAGAAUUGGGCCUUCAUGCAUAAUUCUCUAAUUGGUAUUUCACUUGAGCAAUUUAGGUUUGUAUUGCUAAGUAUCUUACCCCAUUUGCACUUGAGGGGGCAUGAUCAAUGAUAAAUGAUAAAGUUGGUUCAUAUUCUAUUAGAUUAAGUUAUAGGAAAUGGAUCAGAAAACUAUUUAUUUAACAUUCAUAUUUAUGCCAUCACUUUUACACCUCUCAGUCAUGAAAACUAAUAUGUUUUUUUUAGUGCAAUCUUUAACCUUAAACUUUAGGGUGUAACUUGUGAAACACAGUAAGUAAAGUUGAAAAGGAAUCCUAAUACUUUAAGGACCAAGAGUUAUGACAUUGCGAUUUUAUUUCCCUUCCUUUUAGUUCGCUCUCUUCUUUUAUUCUUUUAAUUCAGCCUUCGAAUUUGCUCAAUCUGAGAUUACCAAGAGAAUAGUUGCAUUAAUAUGUUUGAAUAGAUGUCUGAAACUGUGUAUAUAAUCCUCCUUUUGCAGCAAUUCAAUUGCUAGUUUUCUGAUAAUGCUCGGUUUGAUGUAGCUUCAUCCAGAGUGUGCCCCACAUUCUGUGGCUUACAUACUUGAGUUGUUAGCAUUACGCCACUGUGCAGGCUGCCAAUUUUAUCGUGCAGAAAGCAGGGGAGAAUCUUGGGAUUCAGAAGGAAACCACAUUAAAAAUGCUGCUUUUGGACCUCCGUUUGCACUGAUUCAAGGAACACUUGAAGCGCAAGGAACGGCAUUCAAAAAGAUUCCAACAGAAGUUUGCCCUACCAUAAGAAGGGGUUCGGUAGCAUGGGUUGGUUCUGGUCCAGAGUUUUUCAUAAGCCUAGCCAACCACCCAGAGUGGAAGAAAACAUACACUGUUUUCGGUUCUGUGCUUCCUGAAGACAUGGAGAUAGCAGAAAGUAUUGCACAUCUGCCCACCAGAUCGGAUGUUUGGAACAAUAUCAACGUAUCAGUCUUGGAAAAACCUGUCCCCCUUAUAUUCCGGAGAAUGAAGAGAGGCCAUGGAGAUCAUAAUACAAAUUCCAAAUCAGAGUGAACUAGUUCAAUGUUUUUCCUUUUUCAUUUUUCAUUUUUUAUUUUCCUGUUAUUAUACAAGCCUAAUGGUUUUCAGCAGUUUUUCACACAUCCUCUUUUUUUGUGUACAAGCAGGAGACAUCAUGUCUCUUCCAAUAUUCCAUAUAUUUAUUGUAAAAAUGUUGCAGCCAAGUUCAAAUACACAAAAUAUGUGUACUUUUGAUGA